rnacentral:lncRNA from 1 species
UGUUAUCUUUUCUUGACAGGACUAAGUUGACUAAAUUGAAGGUAUCUUAUCUUGGCAGAACUAAAAUGAAGGUUUACUCAUAAUGUUACAAGUUACAACCACCAAAGAGAACCAAGCUCAUAAGACCAUACUGCAACUAAAGCUAUGUACAAACAUAUCAUCCUAUUAGACCAAAGUGCUUGUAGAAGGCUUAACUUAGCAGAAGGACACAGGUAUGCUGUAACUGGUAAAUCUGGACCAUUCAAUUCUAUUGUUAUUGGAAAUUAUGAUAUAGCUUUUCUACUCAGUAAAGAGUACAGGUACUAUAUAUUUUUUUAUCAACUUGGUCAUAGAAUAUUUUUGUUUCAUUUUAGUCCUUUAAGUUAUUUUCUGUUAGUUAUGCUAUGUCAGUCCUUUUGUAGUUUUCAAACUAGUUUUUAAUGGUAUAGUUUCUCAUAAAAAUAAUAGACAUGUUAUAUAUCUUUUCAUUUUGAAAAACUCGUUGGGUAGGACCAGAGUGAAACAAAAAGAAAACAAGACCAAAUUGUAAAACAAAUAAAGAUAUGGGACAAAUCAACGUACUUUGCCAGAAGGAGUGGCAGACGAUUCUCAUAUCAGAUGUUGAGUUUAAAAGACUAGAUCCAUUCUUAUGAACCAUAGGAGUGAAAAUAGGGAUAAAGAUCAUCAUAAAAUAGUUCAUAGUUAUAUAGAAAAAUGAAACUCUAAGAACUUCAUAAACAAGAAUACAAGAUUACUGUAAUAGUAAAGCUAUGCACCUAUCAGGUUAUUAAUGGAAAAGUAAUCCAAUAGUAUAUGAAGUUCUGCCAGAAAUUUAAUGAUUAAUCAAAAAAAUAAGUCAUGAUGUCAAAGAAGUAAACAUAGAACGCCAACUAAAGUGAUUUACGGCAGAUUUUGAUAAUCAAAACACAAACACUUCAGAAACAUUAAAGCAUCAAGGAACUUGAAAACCACUCACCCAAUAAUGUAAAUAUCUGCUGGCUCUUCAGUACAAAGCCAGUCCUCAAUCUCAAGAUCCUUGCUUGGAAGUUUUCCAGCAACAUUCCAAGUCCCAAUUGUUAUCCUGAAAAAUGAACAUUCUAUGUAGCAUUUCUGAUUAACAUUAAAAAAUUAAUAACAUGCUACAUAACUAGAUUACCAACAUACCUCACUUCCUUUUUAUUUAUGUACUGAGCACGCAGAGUUUCUGAUUUUCCUCUCCUGUGUCUCAUCUUGUAGCCCUUACAAACUGCAUCUGAAUUACACACAUGACAGAUUUUAACACUCGGUCUCAGAAAUAUAAAUCAUUUGAAGUUCAUAAAAUUAGUCAAGCUAGUUGCACUUCAGCUCAUUACUUGCAGCAUAAGCAAUUGUUCAUACCAGAGCCAAGCUAGCCCAAGUAAAAGGCCUAAAUCAAUUAUCCUUGUUUGGCCUGAGCCACCUUGAUAACAAAUGACCCAAAGCCGGCCUCCAAACAGCAUGGAUCGAACUCUCAUCCGGCCCAACCGAAUAUCUAAGCGAACUGGAACUCGAAUAUUCUAGAAAUUCUCCUGAGAACCCUUAACAAGUGUCACAAGAGAGAAGAUUUGGCAUUCUCUAUCCACCCCCUGGAGUCUCCCUAACCAAUUGAGAUUACUGGACCCACCUAUGCAAUAGAAGAGGAACAUCUCAAGCAAAACCAAUUCUUAUUCUUACUUUUUACCACUUAUAUGAGUGAUUGAUGCAUCAGAGUGCUUUUACAGAUACCCGCACCAGAGUCGGACAAAGAGGAGAAAAGGAGCUCAUGUCACAUUUCGGUGUGACACUCAUUCUUCAAGUGUCUCGUCAGAACAAUAUAAAAAAGUCAUGUGUAAGUUGGUAUGUUAAAAACUUUAACUUCAAGUUUAAGAAAAUUGUUUUCCAUGUCUACCAAAAGGUGCGAAGAAAGUUAUGCAAUCCAUGACAAGGUGCUAUCUUUAGAUUCCAGACUUCAUAGGAAGCUACUAUUAUAAAGAUUAUAACCAGGGAAAGCAAUGGCUGAAGGUCUAUAACUAAAAGAACAAAGAGCACAUGGACACUUGCCUGGUGGUUGAGAUGGGAAUAUUGGUUGUGUUUUACAUGGAUUAUCUUCAUGCAAACCCAUUCUUGAAUCUUUAAGAGAACAAGCUGGAUGGAGUUCAAAAGAACAGAAAUGAAAAAACAAUGAAAAGAGAGAAAAAGGUAAGUCCAAAAAAAGAAUAUAUCAAAACUUGAAGCAUACCAUCAUCUUCACUCCCAGCUUCAGUUUCAGUAUCCGCUUCAUCUUCACUAAAAUCAUAUACCUUUGGCUUUAUGUUUAACCAUUUCUUCAUCACAAUGGAGGGCCAAAAGGCCUGCUUUGAAAUAAAGUUAAGAAGUUUGGUGUGAAGUAAUAGAAUGUGAUACAUAAACUCUGAAAGUAAGUUACAUAUGCAUGAUGUUAAAGCUUACCUCUGAUCUUCUUCCUCUCCUUGUUUUCAUUGUCUCAGGUCUAAAGAUUAUAAUAACUGAACCAAAAAAGCUAUUGUUAUAGUGUCAGACUUUCAAAGCUCAUGCUCUUAAAUAUGGAAACGAGU